rnacentral:rRNA from 1 species
CAAACAGGAUUAGAUACCCUAGUAGUCCACACCGUAAACGAUGAGUGCUAGAUGUUCGAGGGUUUCCGCCCUUGAGUGUCGCAGCUAACGCAAUAAGUAUCCCGCCUGGGGAGUACGGCCGCAAGGCUGAAACUCAAAGGAAUUGACGGGGGCCCGCACAAGCGGUGGAGUAUGUGGUUUAAUUCGACGCAACGCGAAGAACCUUACCAAGCCUUGACAUUGAUUGCUAUGGAUAGAGAUAUCCAGUUCCUCUUCGGAGGACAAGAAAACAGGUGGUGCACGGCUGUCGUCAGCUCGUGUCGUGAGAUGUUGGGUUAAGUCCCGCAACGAGCGCAACCCCUAUCUUCUGUUACCAGCGAGUUAAGUCGGGGACUCAGGAGAGACUGCCGCAGACAAUGCGGAGGAAGGCGGGGAUGACGUCAAGUCAUCAUGCCCCUUAUGGCUUGGGCUACACACGUACUACAAUGGCUCUUAAUAGAGGGACGCGAAGGAGCGAUCCGGAGCAAACCCCAAAAACAGAGUCCCAGUUCGGAUUGCAGGCUGCAACCCGCCUGCACGAAGCAGGAAUCGCUAGUAAUCGCAGGUCAGCAUACUGCGGUGAUACGUUCCCGGGCCUUGUACACACCGCCCGU